UACGUAGGUGGCAAGCGUUAUCCGGAAUUAUUGGGCGUAAAACGCGCGUAGGCGGUUUCUUAAGUCUGAUGUGAAAGCCCACGGCUCAACCGUGGAGGGUCAUUGGAAACUGGGAAACUUGAGUGCAGAAGAGGAGAGUGGAAUUCCAUGUGUAGCGGUGAAAUGCGUAGAUAUAUGGAGGAACACCAGUGGCGAAGGCGACUCUCUGGUCUGUAACUGACGCUGAGGCGCGAAAGCGUGGGGAGCAAACAGG
rnacentral:rRNA from 1 species